GACGUAGGAGGCGAGCGUUGUCCGGAUUCAUUGGGCGUAAAGAGCGCGCAGGCGGUUUGGUAAGUCGGAUGUGAAAUCCCGGAGCUCAACUCCGGACCUGCAUCCGAUACUGCCGGACUAGAGGUAGGUAGGGGAGAUCGGAAUUCCUGGUGUAGCGGUGAAAUGCGCAGAUAUCAGGAGGAACACCGGUGGCGAAGGCGGAUCUCUGGGCCUUACCUGACGCUCAGGCGCGAAAGCUAGGGGAGCGAACAGG
rnacentral:rRNA from 1 species